GUGAGUCAAUGCAGGUUUAGCUACAGCCACAGUGAGUCAAUGCAGGUUUAGCUACGGCCACAGUGAGUCAAUACAGGUUUAGCUACGGCCACAGUGAGUCAAUGCAGGUUUAGCUACGGCCACAGUGAGUCAAUACAGGUUUAGCUACGGCCACAGUGAGUCAAUGCAGGUUUAGCUACGGCCACAGUGAGUCAAUACAGGUUUAGCUACGGCCACAGUGAGUCAAUGCAGGUUGGAUGUUUAUGACAGUGACAUUCUUUAAGACAGUCCCAAAUGGCACCCUAAUCCCUACAUACUACACUCCCUUUGACCAGAGCCCCAU